UGCCGCUUUAAGCAGUCUUGCCCAUUGUUUGUCCCCCGACCAAUCGCCGGGCCCAUCCUCUCCCAGACCGCCCAAUCAGAGGCGGGCAGGGAGUGAUCGUACCGUCGCGGACUCUAUAUUAAGGGUAGUGGCUCCGCGUGAGUCUUCCACUGGCUCUAUCCAAAGCCAUCUUUGCAUUGUUCCAGCCUUUUGCUCGGGCUCGCGCUCUUCUCCCCCCCGCCUCCUUCCUCUUCAAGCAGGCGCGCGCCGUCGGACCUGUACGUUUUGGGCUUAUUUUUGUAUUUAGCUCUAUUUUAUAUAUACAAUUCCCAACCCAGCCAUGUCAGACACAGCCGUGGAUACCAGUUCUGAGAUCUCCACCAAGGACUUGAAAGAGAAGAAGGAAGUUGUUGAAGAGACGGAAAACGGCAGAGAUGCUCCGGCCAACGGCAACGCCGAGAACGAGGAAAAUGGGGAGCAGGAGCCAGACAACGAGGUAGACGAAGAAGAAGAAGAAGUUGGCGACGAUGAGGAGGACGAGGAAGAAGGCGAAGAAGAGGAUGGUGACGAGGAUGACGAAAACGAGGGUCCCACAGGCAAACGGGCAGCUGAGGAAGAUGAGGUUGGUGCUACCGUCGCCCACCUCAACUCUUAAAGCAGCAGCAGGCUGCAGGCAAGAGCAGCAGGGAACAACAGAGAGAGGCAGUAGGCACACAAAAUGGAGGCAGAAACAACAUGGCUGACAAAUUUAAGGAUGACGAUGUCGACCCCAAGAAGCAGAAAACUGACGAAGAUGAUUAGGAAGCAGAGUAAAAAAAGACAAAAGCCGUUGUUUUUUUUAAAAAAAAAAGCAUAAAGAGGAAAAAAUUUUAAUAGGCCAGCGUGUCCUCCUUCACCUUUGAAACUUCCCGUUGCAAAACACGUCCCACCCCUCCCCUUCUUGCUGUGGUCGCCGUCAUCAAGUAGAGCGGGAAAAAGCCCCACAAAAGCCCGUGUGCUGCCAUUUGGCCCCCAACUCUGAAUGGGGAAAAGAAGUUGAACCCCACUUCCCUGCCCGUCGCCACCCCCGGGUUAGGGUGGGGGAGAGAAGACUCUUGUCGUCCCUCCCCCUCUUCCCCCACUCCGGCACCAGAAACUUCAAGGCCCCCUGCUUGCUUUCUUAAAAGUAACUUUAAAGGAGAAUUUGUUUGUAUUUUUUAUUUACAUUUUAUAUUUUUGUACAUAUUGUGACGAGGUCAGCCAUUUUUAUUGCGAUCUCUUGAUUGACCAAAAGGGGGGCUUUGAAGUGUGUUUUUUUCUCUGUUCCUAAAACAAAACAAAAAAUUCUUGACUUUACUUGUGGUGUGACCAUGUCCAAACCAUUAUCUCAAAGGAGACGAAAAAAGACCUUGUGUUUAAAAAAAUCAAAAAUGCAAAAAAAGUCCAAUCUUUAUUCUGAGCAUUCCAGUAACUCUUUUGUGUAUGUACUUUAGCUGUACCAUAAGUAGUGGAUCUGUAUGAGAUGGCAAGGCCAAAGAUAAAAGGGUUUUUCUUUUCUUUUUUUCUUUUUUCUUGUUUUGGUUCUUUUUGUCUAUGAAGUUGCUGUUAAUUUUUUGGGUUUUUUUGGCCUGUUUGAUGUAUGUGUGAAAACAAUUUUGUCCAACAAUAAACCGGAAUUUUAUUUUGCGGAGUUGUUCUAACGAA